rnacentral:tRNA from 1 species
GCCGGGGUAGCUCAGUUGGUAGAGCGAUAGUAUCGUAAACUAUAGGUCGCGAGUUCAAGCCUCGCCCCCGGCUCCA